rnacentral:rRNA from 1 species
CCUACGGGAGGCAGCAGUGGGGAAUAUUGCACAAUGGGGGAAACCCUGAUGCAGCGACGCCGCGUGAGUGAAGAAGUAUUUCGGUAUGUAAAGCUCUAUGAGCAGGGAAGAAAAUGACGGUACCUGACUAAGAAGCCCCGGCUAACUACGUGCCAGCAGCCGCGGUAAUACGUAGGGGGCAAGCGUUAUCCGGAUUUACUGGGUGUAAAGGGAGCGUAGACGGCCAGACAAGUCAGAAGUGAAAGCCCAGGGCUCAACCCUGGGACUGCUUUUGAAACUGCCGGGCUGGAGUGCAGGAGAGGUAAGCGGAAUUCCUAGUGUAGCGGUGAAAUGCGUAGAUAUCGCGCAGAACCCCGAUGGCGAAGGCAGCGUACCGGCUCCACACUGACGCUGAGGCACGAAAGCGUGGGUAGCGAACAGGAUUAGAUACCCCUGUAGUC